rnacentral:rRNA from 1 species
AGUGAACGCUGGCGGCGUGCCUAAUACAUGCAAGUCGAACGGACGAGUAAGAGCUUGCUCUUAUGAGUUAGUGGCGCACGGGUGAGUAAUGUAUAGCUAAUCUGCCCUACACUAGAGGACAACAGUUGGAAACGACUGCUAAUACUCUAUACUCCUGUCUGACAUAAGUUAGAUAGGGAAAGUUUUUCGGUGUAGGAUGAGGCUAUAUUGUAUCAGCUAGUUGGUGAGGUAAUGGCUCACCAAGGCUAUGACGCAUAACUGGUCUGAGAGGAUGAUCAGUCACACUGGGACUGAGACACGGUCCAGGCUCCUACGGGAGGCAGCAGUAGGGAAUAUUGCUCGAUGGGGGAAACCCUGAAGCAGCAACGCCGCGUGGAGGAUGACACUUUUCGGAGCGUAAACUCCUUUUGUUAGGGAAGAACAAGACGGUACCUAACGA